CUCAACCUAGAACCAAACUCAACCCCUCCGUCAACAUAAAAGCUUCAGCCGGUGUUCGGAAAGAAGAUAUCGUCAUCGUCGGAGCUGGGAUUGCUGGUCUCGCCACUGCAGUGUCUCUUCGCAGGUCUGUAAAAAAAAAAAAAAGAAAUUUUUGCCAUUUAAUUUGUUUUCAUGUUAAGAGAUUAAAAUCAUAUAUAUACAUAAUCAGGCUAGGGAUUGGGUCAGUGGUGCUUGAGCAAGCAGCGUCGCUUAGAACUGGUGGAACCUCACUUACCCUUUUCAAGAAUGGGUGGCGGGUAUUGGAUGCCAUUGGUGUUGCAGAUACUCUUAGGGGCCAAUUUCUUGAAAUUCAAGGGUAUAUAUGUCAAUUUCACAUGCUUCUUGCUAAUUCUAACGGAUAUUUAUACAAAAACCAAACAUUCUAAAGUGCGUUUCAAAGCUUUAAUCUCGGUACUUUAAUAACAAAAAUUAUAAUAAAAUUAUUAACAAUUUUAAUAUUUUUCAUCGAAAUUUGAUUGUUAUAAGAUAUGCUUACGCAAAAUAUUAAAUUAUAAAAACAAAUUUAACUCCUAAUAUUUAUCAAACUUCGGGGACUUGGAACCUACGUUUUUAGACCUAAUUAGUUAUGGCUUACCAUAUUCUGAACUUGUUAAUUGCAUCAGCUGUGCAGGAUGGUGGUGAACUCAGAAGAUGGAAGGGAGUUACGCUCCUUCAAAUUCAAAGACGAAGAUCAAACGUAAUGAACAUUCUUUGGAGACAAUUGUUUUCUUUGUUUCGACAAACUAAUAUUCUAACCUUUUUUAUUUCGGCAGCCAAGAAGUUCGUGCAGUGGAGCGGAGAAUACUACUGGAGACGCUUGCCAACGAGUUACCACCUGAGACAGUUCGGUUCUCUUCCAAAUUAGCAAAGAUUCAAUCGAGUGAAAAUGGUGAAACUCUUUUGCAACUUACCGAUGGGACUACGUUGCUGGCAAAGGUUAGUAGACCUCAAGUUUCAACGUUGUCAUUUUGAAAGAAAUCAGGUUAUUGAAUAUGUUUCUUCAACAGAUUGUUAUUGGUUGUGAGGGAAUUAGAUCUCCGAUAGCCAAGUGGAUGGGUUUCUCCGAGCCGAGGUAUGUAGGAUAUAGUGCUUUCCGUGGACUUGGAGUUUAUCCCGAUGGGCAGCCAUUUGCAGCAAAUGUUAAUUAUAUCUACGGAAGAGGUUUGCGUGCUGGAUAUGUUCCGGUGUCUCCUACAAAAGUUUACUGGUUUAUCUGCUAUAACAGUCCCUCCUCUCCAGGUUUUUUUUUUCGAUCUAUUAUUUUACUUUAAGAUUCAAUCAUAAAAUGAAGUAACGAAUUACCUUAUAACGAUCCUUCUGACAUGUCUUGUUGCAGGUCCCAAGAUUACUGAUCCAGCUUUGCUGAGGAAGCAAGCAAAGGAACUCGUAAACAACUGGCCUGAAGAGUUAAUUAGAUUGAUUGAUCUCAGCCCAGAUGAGACGAUCAG
rnacentral:lncRNA from 1 species